rnacentral:rRNA from 1 species
ACCUGGUGACUCUGAAUAACUUCGAGCUGAUCGCACGGUCUCCGUACCGGCGACGCAUCUUUCAAAUGUCUGCAUUAUCAACUGUCGAUGGUAGGUUCCAUGCCUACCAUGGUGGUAACGGGUAACGGGGAAUCAGGGUUCGAUUCCGGAGAGGGAGCCUGAGAAACGGCUACCACAUCCAAGGAAGGGCAGCAGGCGCGCAAAUUACCCACUCCCGGAACGGGGAGGUAGUGACGAAAAAUAACGAUACGGGACUCAUCCGAGGCCCCGUAAUCGGAAUGAGAACACUUUAAAACCUUUAAACGAGGAUCAAUUGGAGGGCAAGUCUGGUGCCAGCAGCCGCGGUAAUUCCAGCUCCAAUAGCGUAUAUUAAAGUUGUUGCGGUUAAAAAGCUCGUAGUCGGAUCUGUGUCUGGACGGUGCCGGACCACCCUGGCGGUCCGUCGUGUCGCGGCCGGCCGUGUCGCGGGACCACGUGUCCCGUCGGCGCGGUCGCCGUCGCGCUCGUCAGCCGUCUCGGGGUGUUAGUUACCGGCACGUCGGCCGGACGUAUUGUCGGCAGGCGGACACGUGUCUCGUGCUUCCGGCGCGCCGCGCGGCCACGCGUCGCGCGGCCGUCGGUGUUCGACGACGGCGGCCGCCUACUCCAAUCUUGCUGCGCGGUGCUCUUCACCGAGUGCCGUCGGCGGGCCGACACGUUUACUUUGAACAAAUUAGAGUGCUCAAAGCAGGCUCGAAUCUGGCGGGGCGGCUUCACGGCCGUCUCGUCAAAAGGCCCUGAAUACUGGUCGCAUGGAAUAAUGGAACAAGACCUCGGUCCCGCGCAUCUCCGCCCUUCGCGGGCGCGCGAAAUCGCCCUCCGGGGCGUUUCCGUGCGCGGGCCGCCGGGCCGCGGGCGCCAGUCGCCCGCGCGUCCCGCCGGGCCGGUUUUCGGGACCGGAGGUAAUGAUCAACAGAGACGGGCGGGGGCAUUCGUACCGAGACGUUAGAGGUGAAAUUCUUGGAUCGUCUCGAGACGAACUGACGCGAAAGCAUUUGCCAAGUACGUUCUCGUAUGAUCAAGAACGAAAGUUAGAGGUUCGAAGGCGAUCAGAUACCGCCCUAGUUCUAACUGUAAACGAUGCCAGCUAGCGAUCCGCCGGCGUUUCAUUAACGACCCGGCGGGCAGCUUCCGGGAAACCGAAGCUUUUCGGUUCCGGGGGAAGUAUGAUUGCAAAGUUGAAACUUAAAGGAAUUGACGGAAGGGCACCACCAGGAGUGGAGCCUGCGGCUUAAUUUGACUCAACACGGGAAACCUCACCAGGCCCGGACACCGGAAAGAUUGACAGAUUGAGAGCUCUUUCUUGAUUCGGUGGGUGGUGGUGCAUGGCCGUUCUUAGUUGGUGGAGCGAUCUGUCUGGUUAAUUCCGAUAACGAACGAGACUCUGUCCUGCUAACUAGGCGGGUAAACCCGGGUCGGCGUGUGCGCGGCGCUGGCGGUUUCGGCCGUCAGUGUUCGCGUACCCGUCGGCUCGGCCCGGUAUCCCCGAACGCGUUCGCCCGUCGUCCACGGCGGUCGUCGGGCGCGGCCGCGCCAUCCGCGUCCCGGCGUUCGGCGGGCGUAUGUCGGCCGGGGGGCAACCUCCGGUCGGCCUGCGUCCGUCGUGCGUCGGGCUCCGUGGUGAAGCGCGCCGUGUUCGCGGCCGUCGCCGGCGGAUCACGAUACGUUACUAGGGCUACCGCCGGCUCCCAG